ACACUGAAGCAGCACAUAUACUAAAAUUGGAAUGAUACAGAGAGGAUUAGCAUGGCCCCU
ensembl:snRNA U6 U6 spliceosomal RNA